CGUCAUCAUUAGCAUCACACAGAUCGCACUUAGGAUCAAUAUCUUCAUUCCAGUAGUUGAGCUCAAUCCUCAAAAGAUGAACACGUAACCGAAAGCGGGCAAAACUGUGUAAAAUAUGUGUGAGUAGAUCCAAAUGGAAGUACUUAGGCAGACGACAUGGGGAGAAGGUAGCAUGAGCGUCACGUUGUGGAAGGGCACACCAAUGAUGGUAAGUGAACGUUUUACUGUUCGUCUCAGGUUCUCGCGGCUGACGAGCAGUAAAAAAGGGUUGCUGCAAAAAUGCCAAAUGACGUUUCCCAAGUUCUACAACAAGUUGACUCAGAUCCAGAGGACUGCCAUUGAGAAUAUGAUGAUGGUAAGAUGGAGUAUGCCUAAGACCUUGUGUACCAAGCAAGAGAUGAGAAAUCCAGCAUGCAGGAUGGAAUUGGCUGAGUGAAAUGUCUGCCUGAAAAACCUUACAAAGGAGAGGGCUAUUACAAAAAAUGAGAUUGUUGUAAAGGCGUGCACAUGCUCGAAGCCAAUUCAAUUGCAUGGGUUCCAAGCCACAUUCCCGUAACACACUCCAUGAAGGUGUAGAAUUSCUGACCCCAAGUAUGGUGCGUAAAAAUCGUAAGAGCCACUUCUGAAUGCAAUUUUCCAUCUCUUGGCCCUGUUGCAGAUAGGAAGUGGCCCAAAUCUGAGAAGCGUACAUGCCGGCUGGGAUGACAUAAGUUUUGAAUAACCAGAGGUACGCAUGUAAACGAUGAGAGAGACCAUGUUGUUGAAUAAAAGUACGUAUUCUGGUCAUGCUUGCCAGGCAAGGCUUGAUAGCCUCCUCUGCAGCUUUGUUCAGAUUUAGUUUCUUGUCACAAAACAUGCCUAAGUACUUAAAAUGCUCAKAGAAAGGCAGUYCCUCAUUGUUGUACAGGAGAGUAGSCAUAUUGUGUCCUUGAGAAUUAAAGCACACCACAACAGRUUUYUGUGUGUUGACGGUCAGGAAUUUGUCACGGGAGUAUGUGGAAAGACAAUUCAGCAUUUGCUGCAAACUGGACGGAGAGUUAGAAGUGAGGCACAGGUCGUCGGCAUAGAGGAGAUGAGAGACAGUAAAGUUGGGAAUUCCUGUACACGCGGCNUGCUGCAAACUGGACGGAGAGUUAGAAGUGAGGCACAGGUCGUCGGCAUAGAGGAGAUGAGAGACAGUAAAGUUGGGAAUUCCUGUACACGCGGCUGGGAUAUCAUGAAAGAUGUUAGGGAUGUCAUUCAGGUACAAAGAAAAGAGCAAAGGAGAUAAGGGACAACCUUGUUUGACACCAUGUGUUGGUUUGAUACGCGCGUGUUUGUCUCCAUCAACCAAAAUGUAUUCAUCAUCUUGAUACAGAUUCAUG
rnacentral:lncRNA from 1 species